rnacentral:rRNA from 1 species
UACGGAGGGUGCAAGCGUUAUUCGGAAUCAUUGGGCGUAAAGCGCGCGUAGGCGGUUUUUUAAGUCGGAUGUGAAAGCCCGGGGCUCAACCCCGGAAGUGCAUUUGAAACUGAAAGACUUGAGUAUGGGAGAGGGAAGUGGAAUUCCUGGUGUAGAGGUGAAAUUCGUAGAUAUCAGGAGGAACACCGGUGGCGAAGGCGACUUCCUGGACCAAUACUGACGCUGAGGCGCGAAGGCGUGGGUAGCAAACAGG